UACGUAGGGGGCAAGCGUUAUCCGGAUUUACUGGGCGUAAAGCGCGUUAAGGCGGUUGGCAAAGUUGGUGGUGAAAUUGCAGGGCUCAACCCUGCAACUGCCUCCAAUACUGGUCGACUAGAGUGUGAGAGAGGAAGGUGGAAUUCCCGGUGUAGUAGUGAAAUGCAUAGAUAUCGGGAGGAACACCAGUGGCGAAGGCGGCCUUCUGGCUCACAACUGACGCUGUAGCGCGAAAGCGUGGGGAGCAAACAGG
rnacentral:rRNA from 1 species